GACGAACGCUGGCGGCGUGCUUAACACAUGCAAGUGGAGCGACGAACCGGGGCUUGCCCCGGGGCAGAGCCGCGAACGGGUGAGUAACACGUGGGUAACCUGCCUCAAUGAUUGGGACAACCCGGGGAAACUCGGGCUAAUACCAAAUGUGUUCACUCCUUCUAAGGGGAGUGAGGAAAGGAAGCUUCGGCCUCCGCAUUGAGAUGGGCCCGCGGCCCAUUAGCUUGUUGGUGAGGUAACGGCUCACCAAGGCUUCGAUGGUAGCUGGUCUGAGAGGACGAUCAGCCACACUGGGACUGAGACACGGUCCAGACUCCUACGGGAGGCAGCAGUGGGAAUCUUGCACAAUGCGCGAAAGCGUGAUGCAGCAACG
rnacentral:rRNA from 1 species